CAAUCCUCCUGCCUCAGCCCCCUGAGUAGCUGAAACUACAUGUGAAUGCCACCACACCCAGCUAAUUUCUUCAUUGUUUGUAGAGAUGUAGAGAUAUAGAGACAAGGAUCUUGCUAUGUUGCCCAGGCUGGUCUUGAACACCUGACUUCCAGCCCUCCUCCUGCCUCAACCUCCCAAAUUGCUGGGAUUACCAGAGUGAGCCACCUCGCCCAGCCUCCAGACCUUUUUGAAUUCCAGAAUUGAAGAGCAAUUUUAGAUCUAUAAUAUGGUUUUUGGAGGAUUGCUGAGGGACUCAGUAAGAAACAAUAGUAGGGAGAGGAGAGCUUGAACUAACACUUACUGGAAGAAGACAAAGAAAUCCUAGGCUGGGCGCAGUGGCUCACACCUGUAAAAAAAAUACAAAAAUUAUCCAGGUACAGCAGUGCAUACCUGUAGUCCUAGCUACUUGGGAGGCUGAGGCAGGAGAAUUGCUUGAACCCAAGAGGUGGAGGCUACAGUGAGCCAUGAUCACACCACUGCACUCCAGCCUGCGUGGCAGUGGUG
rnacentral:lncRNA from 10 species